rnacentral:misc_RNA from 1 species
ACUGAGAGGGUGUCUGCAUUUGUUCAGUUAUAAUUGAAUCAGAGUGAUUUAUAAUUUAAACUGAACAAAUGCAGACACCCUCUCAGUUGCUAGCAUUGUCAAUUUCUUUGGGUAAACUUGAGAACAAGCAGAGAAUAAAAAACAAAGCAUGAUUAAAGAACUACGAAAUUUCUCUUUAAGAUGAAAAUAUUGUAAGUUCGGAUUACCUCAAAUCACACAUCAACCUUAGAUUUUU